UAGCCUUACUAUCAUCUGUUUCUCAUUUUACACAUGCAAGUCUCAGCACCCCAGUGAGAACGCCCUUUUAACCUACACCAGGAGAAGGAGCUGGCAUCAGGCACAAUCCCUGCCCAUAACACCUAGUCUCACCACACCCCCAAGGGUAAUCAGCAGUGAUAAAUCUUAAAUAUAAGCGACAGCUUGAUUUAGUUAGAGAAAAGAGGGCCGGCUAACCCGGUGCCAGCCGCCGCGGCUACACCGUGGGGCCCGAGCUGAUAGUCACCGGCGUUAAGCGUGAUUAAAGCCCUCAACAAUUAGGGUUAAAUUAAUAUUUAGUAGUGAUAAGCUUGUUAUUAAGAAAACCAUAAACGAAAGUUACCCUAAUUACACUUGAAUCCACGACAACUGGGAAAACAAACUGGGAUUAGAUACCAGCACU
rnacentral:rRNA from 1 species